rnacentral:rRNA from 1 species
UACAGAGGUCCCAAGCGUUGUUCGGAUUCACUGGGCGUAAAGGGUGCGCAGGUGGGUUUGCAAGUUCGAUGUGAAAAGCCCCCGGGCUUAACCCCGGGAAUGGCAUUGGAUACUGCAGAUCUGGAGGAUCGGAGGGGGGGACUGGAAUUCUUGGUGUAGCAGUGAAAUGCGUAGAUAUCAAGAGGAACACCAGUGGCGAAGGCGAGUCCCUGGACGAUACCUGACACUGAGGCACGAAAGCUAGGGGAGCAAACAGG